UUAAGCGACUAAGCGUACACGGUGGAUGCCCUGGCAGUCAGAGGCGAUGAAGGACGUGCUAAUCUGCGAUAAGCGUCGGUAAGGUGAUAUGAACCGUUAUAACCGGCGAUUUCCGAAUGGGGAAACCCAGUGUGAUUCGUCACACUAUCAUUAACUGAAUCCAUAGGUUAAUGAGGCGAACCGGGGGAACUGAAACAUCUAAGUACCCCGAGGAAAAGAAAUCAACCGAGAUUCCCCCAGUAGCGGCGAGCGAACGGGGAGCAGCCCAGAGCCUGAAUCAGUGUGUGUGUUAGUGGAAGCGUCUGGAAAGGCGCGCGAUACAGGGUGACAGCCCCGUACACAAAAAUGCACAUGCUGUGAGCUCGAUGAGUAGGGCGGGACACGUGGUAUCCUGUCUGAAUAUGGGGGGACCAUCCUCCAAGGCUAAAUACUCCUGACUGACCGAUAGUGAACCAGUACCGUGAGGGAAAGGCGAAAAGAACCCCGGCGAGGGGAGUGAAAAAGAACCUGAAACCGUGUACGUACAAGCAGUGGGAGCACGCUUAGGCGUGUGACUGCGUACCUUUUGUAUAAUGGGUCAGCGACUUAUAUUCUGUAGCAAGGUUAACCGAAUAGGGGAGCCGAAGGGAAACCGAGUCUUAACUGGGCGUUAAGUUGCAGGGUAUAGACCCGAAACCCGGUGAUCUAGCCAUGGGCAGGUUGAAGGUUGGGUAACACUAACUGGAGGACCGAACCGACUAAUGUUGAAAAAUUAGCGGAUGACUUGUGGCUGGGGGUGAAAGGCCAAUCAAACCGGGAGAUAGCUGGUUCUCCCCGAAAGCUAUUUAGGUAGCGCCUCGUGAAUUCAUCUCCGGGGGUAGAGCACUGUUUCGGCAAGGGGGUCAUCCCGACUUACCAACCCGAUGCAAACUACGAAUACCGGAGAAUGUUAUCACGGGAGACACACGGCGGGUGCUAACGUCCGUCGUGAAGAGGGAAACAACCCAGACCGCCAGCUAAGGUCCCAAAGUCAUGGUUAAGUGGGAAACGAUGUGGGAAGGCCCAGACAGCCAGGAUGUUGGCUUAGAAGCAGCCAUCAUUUAAAGAAAGCGUAAUAGCUCACUGGUCGAGUCGGCCUGCGCGGAAGAUGUAACGGGGCUAAACCAUGCACCGAAGCUGCGGCAGCGACGCUGAUGCGUUGUUGGGUAGGGGAGCGUUCUGUAAGCCUGCGAAGGUGUGCUGUGAGGCAUGCUGGAGGUAUCAGAAGUGCGAAUGCUGACAUAAGUAACGAUAAAGCGGGUGAAAAGCCCGCUCGCCGGAAGACCAAGGGUUCCUGUCCAACGUUAAUCGGGGCAGGGUGAGUCGACCCCUAAGGCGAGGCCGAAAGGCGUAGUCGAUGGGAAACAGGUUAAUAUUCCUGUACUUGGUGUUACUGCGAAGGGGGGACGGAGAAGGCUAUGUUGGCCGGGCGACGGUUGUCCCGGUUUAAGCGUGUAGGCUGGUUUUCCAGGCAAAUCCGGAAAAUCAAGGCUGAGGCGUGAUGACGAGGCACUACGGUGCUGAAGCAACAAAUGCCCUGCUUCCAGGAAAAGCCUCUAAGCAUCAGGUAACAUCAAAUCGUACCCCAAACCGACACAGGUGGUCAGGUAGAGAAUACCAAGGCGCUUGAGAGAACUCGGGUGAAGGAACUAGGCAAAAUGGUGCCGUAACUUCGGGAGAAGGCACGCUGAUAUGUAGGUGAAGUCCCUCGCGGAUGGAGCUGAAAUCAGUCGAAGAUACCAGCUGGCUGCAACUGUUUAUUAAAAACACAGCACUGUGCAAACACGAAAGUGGACGUAUACGGUGUGACGCCUGCCCGGUGCCGGAAGGUUAAUUGAUGGGGUUAGCGCAAGCGAAGCUCUUGAUCGAAGCCCCGGUAAACGGCGGCCGUAACUAUAACGGUCCUAAGGUAGCGAAAUUCCUUGUCGGGUAAGUUCCGACCUGCACGAAUGGCGUAAUGAUGGCCAGGCUGUCUCCACCCGAGACUCAGUGAAAUUGAACUCGCUGUGAAGAUGCAGUGUACCCGCGGCAAGACGGAAAGACCCCGUGAACCUUUACUAUAGCUUGACACUGAACAUUGAGCCUUGAUGUGUAGGAUAGGUGGGAGGCUUUGAAGUGUGGACGCCAGUCUGCAUGGAGCCGACCUUGAAAUACCACCCUUUAAUGUUUGAUGUUCUAACGUGGACCCGUAAUCCGGGUUGCGGACAGUGUCUGGUGGGUAGUUUGACUGGGGCGGUCUCCUCCUAAAGAGUAACGGAGGAGCACGAAGGUUGGCUAAUCCUGGUCGGACAUCAGGAGGUUAGUGCAAUGGCAUAAGCCAGCUUGACUGCGAGCGUGACGGCGCGAGCAGGUGCGAAAGCAGGUCAUAGUGAUCCGGUGGUUCUGAAUGGAAGGGCCAUCGCUCAACGGAUAAAAGGUACUCCGGGGAUAACAGGCUGAUACCGCCCAAGAGUUCAUAUCGACGGCGGUGUUUGGCACCUCGAUGUCGGCUCAUCACAUCCUGGGGCUGAAGUAGGUCCCAAGGGUAUGGCUGUUCGCCAUUUAAAGUGGUACGCGAGCUGGGUUUAGAACGUCGUGAGACAGUUCGGUCCCUAUCUGCCGUGGGCGCUGGAGAAUUGAGGGGGGCUGCUCCUAGUACGAGAGGACCGGAGUGGACGCAUCACUGGUGUUCGGGUUGUCAUGCCAAUGGCACUGCCCGGUAGCUAAAUGCGGAAGAGAUAAGUGCUGAAAGCAUCUAAGCACGAAACUUGCCCCGAGAUGAGUUCUCCCUGACUCCUUGAGAGUCCUGAAGGAACGUUGAAGACGACGACGUUGAUAGGCCGGGUGUGUAAGCGCAGCGAUGCGUUGAGCUAACCGGUACUAAUGAACCGUGAGGCUUAACCUU
rnacentral:rRNA from 1 species